GGAAUAUUGGUCAAUGGACGGAAGUCUGAACCAGCCAUGCCGCGUGGAGGAAGAAGGUCCUAUGGGUUGUAAACUCCUUUUACGCCGGAGUAAUAAGAGCCUUGCGAGGCUCGAUGAGAGUACGGCGGGAAUAAGCAUCGGCUAACUCCGUGCCAGCAGCCGCGGUAAUACGGAGGAUGCAAGCGUUAUCCGGAUUUAUUGGGUUUAAAGGGUGCGCAGGCGGCGCGUUAAGUCAGCGGUGAAAUCUUCCGGCUCAACCGGGGGACUGCCGUUGAUACUGGCGUGCUGGAGUACGGACGGCGCCGGCGGAAUGUGUCAUGUAGCGGUGAAAUGCUUAGAUAUGCCACAGAACACCGAUCGCGAAGGCAGCUGGCGAGGCCGGUACUGACGCUCAGGCACGAAAGCGUGGGGAUCAAACA
rnacentral:rRNA from 1 species